rnacentral:lncRNA from 1 species
UCUUCCAGAGUGUGGUGCUGCCACUGCACUUUCACCAUGGGGAUCAUGUUGUUGCAAAAAACUUUGUCGAUCCAACCAAUAAUUUUCGCGGGGAGUUCUUCGUAAGUCAUAUAGUUUGUACCUGCGUUUCAUCAUGAGGAAUGAUAUGAGAAGGGUCAGGGUGAUUCCUUUUGAGCAUGGAGACAUAAAAAAUAUCAUAUAGAACUGUAAACUCUCGAGAUAGAAUAAGGUGGU